AUCAAGGAUUACCGACUACCGUCCUAUCUCUUGCCUCAAUACCAUCUACAAAGUAAUCUCUAGGCUGUUGGUGAGACGUCUGAAACUGAUUCUCCAUGGGUUAAUCGUUCCGAAUCAAACUGCAUUUGUAGAAGGGAGGUUAUUAUUGGAGAAUACGGUCCUGGCUAGUGAAUUGGUAAAUGGUUAUCAUAAGAAUAAAAGUUCUAAGAAGAUUACCCUGAAGGUGGAUAUCGCUAAAGCCUUUGACACUUUAUCUUGGGAUUUUUUACUCUCUGCAUUGGAAAGCUUCAAUCUGCCAUUACCGUUUCUAAACCUCCUCAAAGCCUGUAUCUGCACAACAAGCUUUACAGUGGGUUAUAAUGGGACAGUGAAUGGAUUUUUUAAAGGAAGAAGAGGACUGCGCUAAGGGGACCCACUAUCACCAUACCUCUUUGUGAUUGCAAUGAACUGUCUGUCUCUUAUGUUGAACAGGGAAGCGCGCUCCGGCAAUUUGUCAUAUCAUCACAACUGCCAAAAGACAAAACUAACUCAUCUCUCUUUCGCA
rnacentral:lncRNA from 1 species